AUGUUGAGAAAAGUAAAAAAUAUAGGCGAGAUUUUAAAAGAGGCACAAAGGGAGAUUUCUGUAAAAGGUUUUCAGACAGUGGGCUAUUAUGGAUGGGGGAUCUACAAAAAAAAAAAUCCUCCUCCCAAACCUGAGAUCUGGAUUACAGAUGAACGUCCUGUUGAGAACAUUUCCCCAAAGCCUACAAUUUUCCUUCCUUCAAUUGCUGAAAGAAAACUCCAUAAGACUGGAACAUAUCUUUGUCUUCUUGAGGAUUUUUUCCCUGGUGUUAUCGAGAUAUAUUGGAAAGAAAAGAAUGGCAAAACAAUCCUGGAAUCCCAGCAGGGAAACACCAUGAAAACUAAGGACACAUAUAUGACAUACACCUGGCUGACCGUGAGUGAAGAGUCAAUGGGUAAAGAACACAAAUGUGUUGUCAAACAUGAUAGUAAUAAAGGAGGGGUUGAUCAAGAGAUUCUUUUUCCUUCAAUAGACAAAGAUUUGGUGUCGGUGAUGGGAUCUGAAAUGGACUUCCAGGGGCGAUCAGAGACAAGGAGACAGCCAGGGGAGGUAACUGUGAGCCCCUUGAGUUCACUGUCCUCCUCAUCAUUUUCAAGGGCUGUAGAGCUCACUGCUGUUAACUCUACAGAAGCUUCUUUGAAAGACGAAAAUGACCCCCUGCAGCUGCAGCUCGUGAACACCUCUGCCUACUGCACCUACCUCCUCCUCCUCAUCAAGAGCAUGGUCUACACUGUCAUCACCGCCAUCUGUCUGCUUGGGAGAGCGGCACUCUGUGACAAUGGGAAGAGUUCCUGACCCGUGGUGGCACAGGGUCCAUGUUUCUCCAUUGACUGUUGUCACUAAAAGUGUCUGCUGUGGGUCUAGCGGGGCUUUCUUUCUGGGUGGUUCAUUUCAGUUCACACGUUGUCUUUUUCUAUGUGUCAUCAUUGCAGAAUGGGUUUGCAAACUCCUGGGCAAACAGGAAAUGUUACUCUGCACCAAGAACAGACUCUGCCAUGAGUCAGGGGCGGGGCCGGGGGGCACCCACGGGGGCUUCAGCACCGCUCUCUCCUUCUUGCCCACCAGCUGGUCAGCCACCCAGCACCCUCGCCUCUGAGUACACUUGGCGUGCAGCUUCCAUAGCGUCCCCUGGGGCUCUGUAUGCAGAUAACUGCCUGGAGGCCUUUUGUUUUACAUUUCUGGAAGCUGCCAUCUUUGCUACCUGAGUUUUGUUCUGUUGUUCAUAACAGGCAUAAUAAAAAUAAUCAAAAGUGUA